CUCUGUUUGCCUCUGGGUGUGUGUUGGCCAAUGGUCCUUGGAGGUGCCAGCGGGGAGCAUGAGCUCCUUUUUUGCUGAUUGUCUGGUGAUUUUCAUACAAGAUGAAAUUUACUUCGGGGGAUGGAACUUCUAAGAAUUUAUAACAAGCAAAGAGUGAUGAAAACAACCACAAACACAAAACCCACGGGGCACAAACAGCCUGAGACAUGACCACUGGCACUGAGCAAAAUGACUAGUUAAUGCGCCUAUAACCCUCCGGUUUUGAAGGGGCCACAGAACCAGGCAAGUUAAAAACUCCAGAAUGUUCUUAUCAUGGGUACUGAAUCAGCAUUUGGUAAUCGCUUCAGAUAUCCUU